UCUUCAAAUCCCCAAACCGGUCUCUCUUCUAUUUGUGCCGUCUUCUCACCUAAACCCUAAAUUCCACUUCUCACCCAAAAUCGUAAAUUCCAAAUGGCUUCUUCGUCACAUACAACAAGGAAAACUAAAGUCAACCGAAGGCUCAAUUCUCUUUGUCUCUAUCUCUGUUUUCAUCUCCCAUAUAUUGUAAGAAAGAGGAAAAGCAAAGUGUCUUUGUCUCUUGCCAUCUAAGAUCCAUAAGGGUUUCUACACUAUAGUGGUCUGUCUAUUGAGGGUUAGAUUCCUCCAUCUUCAAUCAAAGGCAGCUGAACUUCUUCUUGGGGCAAGACGGAACUAAACAACUAUUGAUAUGUGGUCUCUUGGUUGUGUAAUGACCUAACUAUUUGACCAGCUUCCACUUAGGGUGGUGGUGGAUUGCCUAUCUGGUCUCCCUUAGUGACUUAUCUAGUUACACAACUUUCUUAAUUUUUAUUAACAAUCAAAAUGUUUCUUUCAGGUAUAAUAUGUUAUCUGAAAAAUUUUCUGGUAUAAUCUUCGCCUGAGCUUCAUGAAAUAAUUUGCUAAUAAUUCUUAAUUUAAGUAUUAAGAAUAACAAAUCUAAUUAGAGCAUAAUUAUAUAAUGUAUAAGUUAUCAGUAAGUUUAGUUUUUUAAGAUUUUGUGUAAUAUUUUUUAGUUUUGUAACAUGUUAUUUUGUCUUGUUUAUUUGUCUUGGAACUAAUCUCAUUCAUAUGAUUUUUAAGAAUGGGGAAGGAGGAGUCAAUUGAUGUAGAAGGAAAGUAUAAUGGUGUGUUCUUCCUCCUACGCCUCCCAAACAACAACUUAUGGAAAGGGACAAUUUCUGGUUAUUCUAUUGUUGGGACAAUUGAAAUUAAACCUAGUAUUUUGUACCCAAAUUAAAUAGAGAACUAAAGCACCGAUGUUAUAUGUAUAUGGGAAUACAAAAAACCUUCGGCAAAAAGAAUUUGUUAGAAUUUAAUGAA